rnacentral:rRNA from 1 species
UACGGGGGGGGGUAAGCGUUGUUCGGAAUUACUGGGCGUAAAGGGCGCGUAGGCGGCCUUCUAAGUCGAACGUGAAAUCCCACGGCUCAACCGUGGAAGUGCAUUCGAAACUGCAGGGCUAGAGUCCUGGAGAGGAAGGUGGAAUGCUUGGUGUAGAGGUGAAAUUCGUAGAUAUCAAGCGGAACACCGGUGGCGAAGGCGGCCUUCUGGACAGUGACUGACGCUGAGACGCGAAAGCGUGGGGAGCAAACAGGG